ensembl:ncRNA F25F6.3 ncRNA
UUUAACUGUCUUUAAUGGCAAUAUUAACAUCAAAAACAUUGAAACAAAAAUAAACAAAAAGAAACUUCCCAUGCCGGGAAUCGAACCCGGGCCGCGUGGGUGAAAACCACGAAUCCUAACCACUAGACCACAUGGGACUACA